UGUUGUUGCGGUUGAAAAGCUCGUAGUUGGACUUCUGGCGGCCUCGACCGGUCCGCCUAGCGCGAGCACUGGUUGAGGCCGUCGUUUGGUCGACGGUGCGCGUUGGUCUUCAUUGCUCGGCGCGCUCUCUGUCGGCGAUGUUACUUUGAGGAAAUCAGAGUGCUCAAAGCAAGCGUUCGCUCGUGACUUCACUAGCAUGGAAUAACACAGAUGGGCUCUUUUUCGCAACGUUGGUCUGCGUCAACUGAGCAACGAUCGAUAGAGACGGUCGGGGGCAUUCGUAUUGCGCAGUUAGAGGUGAAAUUCUCCGAUCUGCGCAAGACGCACUAAUGCGAAAGCAGUUGCCAAGGACGUCCUCUUAUGAUCAAGAGCGAAAGUCGGGGGAUCAAAGAUGAUUAGAUACCGUCGUAGUCCCGACCAUAAAUGAUGCCGACUGAGCGUCGGCGACUCGGCUCCAAGCCGGACGUCGGCGCUCUUAGAGAAAUUAAAGUCUAUGGGCUCCGGGGGUAGUAUGGUCGCAAGUCUGAAACUUGAAGGAAUUGACGGAAGGGCACCACAAGGCGUGGAUGUUGCGGCUUAAUUUGACUCAACACGGGAAAGCUUACUAGGUUUGGACACUUGAAUGAGGGACAUAUUGAAGCUCUUACCUUUUUUUGUGGAUGGUGGUGCAUGGUCGUUCUCAGCCCGUGGGUUGACCUGUCAGGUUUACUCCGGUAACGCGCGAGACCUCGGUUUGCUAAAUAGACGUGGCUGUUUCGGCACCCACGCUCUUCUUAGAGAGAGACUCGGCGAGAGUCGAGGGAAGUCGAGGCAAUAACAGAUCUGUGAUGCCCUUAGUUAUCCUAGGUCGCACGCGCCAUACAAUGUGGCGCACAACGAGUUUCCUUGGCCGACAGGAUCUCYUCGGCGCUGGKGCCUUCCCCUUCCAGAGGGGCGACUCUUCGCGAGCUGCUCCCUCGGGAUGGGCGUCGGCUCAGGKUCUGCACCAUGUGGCUCGACCCCUGCCUCGGCUGCCGGCCUCGGCUGGCUGCUGAGCAUGGCAGUAGGGCUGCUGGUGCAUCGAGGAGACGCAUGAAUAUGAGGGUAAUCUGACAGAGCGCUACGUGACUGGGCUAGACUUUUGUAAUUGUUGGUCUUGAACGAGGAAUGCCUAGUAAUCGCAGGUCAUCAUCCUGCGAUGAUUCGGUCCCUGCCCUUUGUACACACCGCCCGUCGCUCCAUCCGUGGCAUGCG
rnacentral:rRNA from 1 species